rnacentral:rRNA from 1 species
GACAGAGGGUGCAAACGUUGUUCGGAAUUACUGGGCGUAAAGCGAGUGUAGGCGGUUCGAUAAGUCGGAUGUGAAAGCCCCGGGCUCAACCCGGGAAGUGCACUCGAUACUGUCGAGCUAGAGUAUCGGAGAGGUUGGUGGAAUUCCCAGUGUAGUGGUGAAAUACGUAGAGAUUGGGAAGAACACCAGUGGCGAAGGCGGCUAUCUGGACGGUUUCUGACGCUAAGACGCGAAAGCGUGGGGAGCAAACAGG